UGUCAGUGAGUCCCUCUGCUGAGAUAGUGGAGGGCAGUUCAGUGACUCUGACCUGUAGCAGUGAUGCUAACCCAGCAGCUAAUUACACCUGGUACAAGGAGGAUGAAGACUCCUCUAGAACAUCAGGACACAACUUCACCAUCAGCAACAUCAGACCUGAGCACAGUGGGAGUUAUUACUGUGUGGCCCACAACAAUAGAGGGACUCAUAACUCCACCUUACAGCUGACUGUUGUAGCAGGAGCAGGAACAUUAGAAGCUGCUGGAGUAACUGCUGCUGUUCUCCUGCCUGUCAUAUUCUUCUCUGUCUUCCUGUGGAUUCA